rnacentral:rRNA from 1 species
AAUUUUACUGUGUUAAGGUAGCAUAAUCACUUCCCUUUUAAUUAAAGGUUUGUAUGAAGGAUUGAACAAUUAAAUCUCUUUUUUAUAAAUUUUUAUUAAACCUAAACUAAACAUAAAAAUGUUUUUAUAAAAAAAAUAGACGAUAAGACCCUAUUGAACUUUACUACAGUUUAGCUGGGGAAGCUAUUUAAAUAUAAUUUUAAUCACCCCCCCUAAAUAAAACCCUAAUAAAAUUAAUUUAAAUAAGUUACCAUAGGGAUAACAGCGUAAUAUAAUUUUAAAGAUCUUAUUAAAAAUUAAGCUUACGACCUCGAUGUUGAAUUAGAAUAUCU